rnacentral:lncRNA from 1 species
GGCACCCAUGACUAUAUGAACUAGGCAAUAGACCCCAUUGAAUCCCCUUGGGCUACUGGAGACCCAACCUAAUUAGAUGUGUUUUAGGUUUUCAGUAAUUCUGCUUGGCUUUCUGUUCAACACUUUCUUUACAGUCAGACUUUAUUCCUUUUGGCUUAUGUGUUAACAAUCUGAUGAAACCUUUUCUUUUUCCCCUAAAAAAAGAUCCUUUUGUAUCUGACAGCAAACUCUCUC